rnacentral:lncRNA from 1 species
CCCCUCCCCCUCCUCCCCUCCCCCUCCUCCCUCACCCCCUCCCCUCCCCCUCCUCCCCUCACCUCCUCCCCUACCCCUCCUCUCCUUCCCCUCCUCCCCCCUUCUCUCCUCCCCCCUCCUCCCCCUCCUUCCCUCCCCCUCCUCCCUCACCUCCUCCACUCCCCCUCCUCCUCCCCCUCCUCCUCCCCCUCCUCCUCCCCCUCCUCCUCCCCCUCCUCCUCCCCUCCCCCUCCUCUCCUCCCCCUCCUCCCCUCACCUCCUCCCCUACCCCUCCUCUCCUUCCCCUCCUCCCCCUCCUCCCCCCUCCUCCCCCCUCCUCCCCCCUUCUCUUCUCCCCCUCCUCCCCCCUCCUCCCUCCUCCCCUCCCCUCUCCCCUCCCCCUCCCCUCUCCUCACCUACUCCCCCUCCACUCCCCCUCCUCCCCUCACCUCCUCCCCUCCCCCUCCUCCCCUCCUCUCCUUCCCCUCCUCCCCCCCUCCUCCCCUCCUCCCCCUCCUCCUCCCCUCCCCCUCCUCCCCUCCCCCUCCCCCUCCUCCUCCCCCUCCUCCCCUCCUCCCCCUCCCCCUCCCCCUCCCCCUCCUCCCCCUCCUCUCCUUCCCCUCCUCCCCUCCCCCUCCUCCUCCCCUCCCCCUCCUCCCCUCUCCUCCUCCCCUCCUCCUCCCCCUCCUCCCCCCUCCUCCCCCCCUCCUCCCCCCUUCUCUUCUCCCCCUCCUCCCCUCACCUCCUCCCCUCCUCCCCUCACCUCCUCCACUCCCCCUCCUCCCCUCCUCCCCUCUCCUCCUCCUCCCCUCCUCCCCCUCCUCCUCCCCCUCCCCCUCCUCCUCCCCUCCUCCUCCCCUCCCCCUCCCCCUCCCCCUCCCCCUCCUCCUCCCCUCCUCCCCUCUCCUCCUCCCCUCCUCCCCUCCUCCCCCCUUCUCUUCUCCCCCUCCUCCUCCCCCUCCUCCUCCCCCUCCUCCUCCCCCUCCUCCCCUCCUCCCCUCCCCCUCCCCCUCCCCCUCCUCCUCCCCCUCCUCUCCUUCCCCUCCUCCCCCCUCCUCCCCCUCCCCCUCCUCCUCCCCCUCCUCUCCUCCCCCUCCCCAUUCCCCUCCUUCCCCCCUCCCCCUCCCCCUCCCCCUCCUCCCCUCUCCUCCUCCCCUCCCCCUCCUUCCCCCCUCCCCCUCCUCCCCCCCUCCUUCCCUCCCCCUCCUUCCCCUCCUCCCCCUCCUCCCCUUCCCUGUGCAAUGAGAUCCUUCAGGUAGGGGUCUAUAGAUGCAUCUGUCAGAGUUGGAGAAAUUGAGGCUUAAAGAGAGCUUGCCCAGCCAGUGCAACCAACGCACCUGUGAGUGUCUGUGUGCACCUGUGAUGCACAC